rnacentral:rRNA from 1 species
ACGCUCGACACCUACGGGAGGUAGCAGUGGGGAAUAUUGGGCAAUGGGCGCAAGCCUGACCCAGCAACGCCGCGUGAAGGAAGAAGGCUUUCGGGUUAUAAACUUCUUUUGUCAGGGACGAAGACGUGACGGUACCUGACGAAUAAGCUCCGGCUAACUACGUGCCAGCAGCCGCGGUAAUCUGAGCGGGCUGGCAAGGC